GAAGGAUGAGAAGCUUCGACCAAGGUUCGACUCGAGCGCCAGCGAGAGAGCGUUGCCGCAGGCAACGACCCGAAGGGCGAAGCGCGCAGCGCUGAGUAAUCCUUCCCCCACCACCA
rnacentral:sRNA from 1 species